CGAAAGCCUGACGGAGCAACGCCGCGUGAGGGAUGAAGGCCUCUGGGCUGUAAACCUCUUUUCUCAAGGAAGAAGAUCUGACGGUACUUGAGGAAUAAGCCACGGCUAAUUCCGUGCCAGCAGCCGCGGUAAUACGGGAGUGGCAAGCGUUAUCCGGAAUUAUUGGGCGUAAAGCGUCCGCAGGCGGUUCUGUAAGUCUGCCGUUAAAGCGUGGAGCUUAACUCCAUUUCGGCGGUGGAAACUGCAGGACUUGAGUGUGGUAGGGGCAGAGGGAAUUCCCGGUGUAGCGGUGAAAUGCGUAGAUAUCGGGAAGAACACCAGUGGCGAAGGCGCUCUGCUGGGCCAUAACUGACGCUCAUGGACGAAAGCCAGGGGGGCG
rnacentral:rRNA from 1 species